GGCUGGGAAGGCAAAGGGACGU
rnacentral:ncRNA from 2 species